UACGUAGGGUGCGAGCGUUGUCCGGAAUUAUUGGGCGUAAAGAGCUCGUAGGCGGUGUGUCGCGUCGGUCGUGAAAACUUGGGGCUUAACCCUGAGCUUGCGGUCGAUACGGGCAUCACUGGAGUUCGGCAGGGGAGACUGGAAUUCCUGGUGUAGCGGCGAAAUGCGCAGAUAUCAGGAGGAACACCGGUGGCGAAGGCGGGUCUCUGGGCCGAUACUGACGCUGAGGAGCGAAAGCGUGGGGAGCGAACAGG
rnacentral:rRNA from 1 species